AUCCAUGUAGCGCAAUGCAGCGUUGGGCGUUGCGUUAGCGCGUUGGAUUUCUGAUCCAAAAAUCGUGGUUUCGAAUCCUACCUGGGAUG